rnacentral:antisense_RNA from 1 species
CUUCACCGACCCCAGCCACAACGGCUCACCCACCCGAUCACGGCCAUAGGUGGCCAGCAACGCCUGCGCCUC